rnacentral:ncRNA from 1 species
GAAAAAUUUAUUAAAAGUUUAUUUUAUAUAUAAAUUAUAGUGUUAAAUUAUUAUUAUUUUAAUAAUAAUAAUAUUUUUAUUAUAGUAAAUAAAAUUAAAAAUUUAAGAAAUUAAGAUUUAGUAAUACAAAAAUUAAUAACAAAUUUUGUGCCAGCAGUUGCGGUUACACAAAAAUUAAAUUGAAUUAUUUCAGUUUAUAAAUAAUAAAUUAAAAUUAAAAUAGAUAUUAAAUUAUUAGGUAAAAUUUUAAUUUAAUUAAAUUUUAUAGGUAAAUUUAUGUUUUAAUAAAUUUUAAGAUAAACUAGGAUUAGAUACCCUAUUAUUAAAAAUUUAAAUUAUAAUACUAAAAUAGUAAAUAAUUAUUUAUUGAAACUUAAAUAAUAUGGCGGUAUUUUAGUUCAUUUAGAGGAAUCUGUUUAAUAAUUGAUAAUCCACGAUUAAAUUUACUUAAUUAAUAAUUUUAUAUAUCGUUGUUAAAAAAAUAUUUUUAAUUAAUAAUAAUAUUUUAAAAUUUAAAUAAAAAAUUAAUUCAGAUCAAGAUGUAGAUUAUAAUUAAGAAUAUAAUGGAUUACAAUAAAUUUAUUUAAAUGAAUAUAUUAUUGAAAAAUAAUAUUGAAGGUGGAUUUAAAUGUAAUUUUAUUUAAUUGAAUAAAAUGAUUUAAAAUUAAAAUAUGUACAUAUUGCCCGUCACUUUCAUUUUAAAGUUGAAAUAAGUCGUAACAAAGUAGAGGUACUGGAAAGUGUUUCUAGAAAA